GGUAACAAUGGGUUCUAACACUCUUAACAGGUGGGAGCAGGUAGCUUAGUAUCAUAGGCAUUAAUAGAUCUGUUAAUGUUUGUACUUCCUUCACCCAAGUCUCAGCUCAAAUGCCCCCUCUCAGAAAGUUACCGCUCUCUCUCAAGUAGGUCCACAAGUGAAGACUCAGGAAUGAUUAGAUAUGCUGUACAGUACAUGCCAAAUGAAAGGUAUAUUCUGUUGCUGAAAUCAUCAAGGAGAGCUCUUAAUGGAGUUGAGACCAGACGGUGACUGCCAAGUAACCAAGAACUUAAUCGCCUCAUGAACCAACCUAUUCUGUCACUGGACAGCUUCAUCAUGGCGGCUGACCUCCAAGAUGGCGCCCACUGAUCCUUACCUCUUGUUCUUUGGAAAGCCAGCUUCCAUGAUGUGAGGACAUCCAAACAUCUCUGAAGAGAGGCCCACGUGUGGGGAGGCACGAAUGAAGAAACACUGAAGAUUCCUGUCAAAAACCAGUAGCCACUCACCACUCAGGUGAGCUAGCCACUUUGGGGGUUGGUCAUCCAGACUCAAUGAAGCCUUUAGAUGACUAUAGCUCUGGCCAACAACUUGGCUGCAAUUUUGUGAGAGACAUC